rnacentral:rRNA from 1 species
UGGGCGAGAGACCGAUAGCAAACAAGUACCGCGAGGGAAAGAUGAAAAGGACUUUGAAAAGAGAGUCAAAGAGUGCUUGAAAUUGUCGGGAGGGAAGCGAAUGGGGGCCGGCGAUGCGCCUCGGUCGGAUGUGGAACGGUUAAAGCUGGUCCGCCAAUCGGCUCGGGGUGUGGAUCGGUGCGGAUUGGGACGGAGGCCAAAGCCCAGGAAGUCGUUAAGCCUGUGGAGACGCCUUCGCCCCGAUCGUGGCUGGCAGCGCGCGCCCUUUGGGCGUGCUUCGGCAUCUGCGCGCUCCUGG